AGGUUGGCCUAACCGCAAAGGGAGGGCGCCUACCACGGUGAGAUUCAUAGACUGGGGUG
rnacentral:rRNA from 1 species